rnacentral:lncRNA from 1 species
GUGGCCCUGACUAAGCCACCCAACAAUAGAAAGAAUGGCUGAGAAAGCAGAGUCAGCGUCACCACAGCUCAUGGUUCCCAUUCUUCUCCUGGUUGGAUGGAUUGUAGGCUGCAUUAUAGUGGUUUACAUUGUCUUCUUCUAGAAAAGCAAGAAGACUUCAAACUGACACCAUUUAGAAGAAUUAAAAAAAAAUCAGGAACACGACUGAUCAUUAAAGGUGUCUUGUAUUAAA